AUUCCCUACGGGGCGCAGCAGUCGCGAAAACUUCGCAAUGGGGGAAACCCCGACGAGGGAAUUCCAAGUGCCAGCACUUUGUGUUGGCUGUUCUUCUGUCUAAAAAACAGGAGGAGUAAGGGGCGGGUAAGACGGGUGCCAGCCGCCGCGGUAAUACCCGCGCCCCAAGUGGUGGUCGAUAUUAUUGAGCCUAAAACGUCCGUAGCCGGUCUUCUAAAUCCUUGGGUAAAUCGGGCAGCUUAACUGUC
rnacentral:rRNA from 1 species